AGAGGAGGGAGGCAGGUAGCCUAGUGGUUAGAGGAGAGGAGGUAUCCUAGUGGUUAGAGGCAGGUAGCCUAGUGGUUAGAGGAGGCAGGUAGCCUAGUGGUUAGAGGAGGUAUCCUAGUGGUUAGAGGAGGCAGGUAGCCUAGUGGUUAGAGGAGGGAGGCAGGUAGCCUAGUGGUUAGAGGAGGCAGGCAGCCUAGUGGUUAGAGGAGGCAGGUAGCCUUAGUGGUUAGAGGAGGCAGGUAGCCUAGUGGUUAGAGGAGGCAGGUAGCCUAGUGGUUAGAGGAGGCAGGUAGCCUAGUGGGUAGAGGAGACAGGUAGCCUAGUGGUUAGAGCGUUGGAAUCCCUAAACUGACAAGGUAAACAUCUGCCGUUCUGCCCCUGAACAAGGCAGUUAACCCACUGGUCCCCCAGUAAAAAAAAACAUGUGUUUUAUCUCCCAAGUUGGGAAUUGAGGAGGUAUGAAUAAUUAAAGGUUGGUCAAAAAUAUUCUGUGCUAAGUGUUUAACAUGACCUACUUAAUAAUGCCUAUCAGCAUCUUAAUUAGAACAAGCAGCCUAUCAGCAUCUUAAUUAGAACAAUCAGCCUAUCAGCCUGAUAGACAGACCAUCAUUACUGUUCUAUGUGAUAUUUCUAAUAGCUGAGUCUAUUGUUCUCCCAACGGCCCAGUGAUGUACUGGGCCGUAUGCACUACCCUCUGUAGUGCCUUGGGGUCGGAGGCCGAGCAGUUGCCAUACCAGGCAGUGAUGCAACCAGUUAGGAUGCUCUUGAUGGUGCAGCUGUAUUUGGACCAUGAUAGUUUGUUGGUG
ensembl:lncRNA